AAGUAUGCAAGAGAUCUACAACAA
rnacentral:snRNA from 1 species